GAUGAACGCUGGCGGCGUGCCUAAUACAUGCAAGUCGAGCGAACGGACGAGAAGCUUGCUUCUCUGAUGUUAUCGGCGGACGGGUGAGUAACACGUGGAUAACCUACCUAUAAGACUGGGAUAACUUCGGGAAACCGGAGCUAAUACCGGAUAAUAUUUUGAACCGCAUGGUUCAAAAGUGAAAGACGGUCUUGCUGUCACUUAUAGAUGGAUCCGCGCUGCAUUAGCUAGUUGGUAAGGUAACGGCUUACCAAGGCAACGAUGCAUAGCCGACCUGAGAGGGUGAUCGGCCACACUGGAACUGAGACACGGUCCAGACUCCUACGGGAGGCAGCAGUAGGGAAUCUUCCGCAAUGGGCGAAAACCUGACGGAGCAACGCCGCGUGAGUGAUGAAGGUCUUCGGAUCGUAAAACUCUGUUAUUAGGGAAGAACAUAUGUGUAAGUAACUGUGCACAUCUUGACGGUACCUAAUCAGAAAGCCACGGCUAACUACGUG
rnacentral:rRNA from 1 species